UACGGGGGGGGCAAGCGUUGUUCGGAAUUACUGGGCGUAAAGGGCUCGUAGGUGGCCAACUAAGUCGGACGUGAAAUCCCUCAGCUUAACUGGGGAACUGCGUCCGAUACUGGAUGGCUUGAGUUUGGGAGAGGGAUGCGGAAUUCCAGGUGUAGCGGUGAAAUGCGUAGAUAUCUGGAGGAACACCUGUGGUGUAGACAGCUUACUGGACCAUUUCUGACGCUGAGACACGAAAGCGUGGGUAGCAAACAGG
rnacentral:rRNA from 1 species